rnacentral:rRNA from 1 species
GCAAGAUUAAAACUCAAAGGAAUAGACGGGGACCCGCACAAGUGGUGGAGCAUGUGGUUUAAUUCGAAGAUACGCGAAGAACCUUACCUAGCCUUGACAUUGAUAGAAUCUUCCAGAGAUGGAGGAGUGCCUUUCGGGGAACUUGAAAACAGGUGCUGCACGGCUGUCGUCAGCUCGUGUCGUGAGAUGUUGGGUUAAGUCCCGCAACGAGCGCAACCCUCGUCAUUAGUUACUAACAGUUCGGCUGAGGACUCUAAUGAGACUGCCUUCGUAAGGAGGAGGAAGGUGAGGACGACGUCAAGUCAUCAUGGCCCUUACGGCUAGGGCGACACACGUGCUACAAUGGUUAGGACAAUGAGAAGCGAUACCGCGAGGUGGAGCAAAUCUAUAAACCUAAUCUCAGUUCGGAUUGUAGUCUGCAACUCGACUACAUGAAGCUGGAAUCACUAGUAAUCGUAGAUCAGCCAUGCUACGGUGAAUACGUUCCCGGGUCUUGUACUCACCGCCCGUCACACCAUGGGAGUUGAUUUCACCCGAAGCGGGGAAGCUAAACUGGCUACCCUCCACGGUGGGAUUAGCGACUGGGGUGAAGUCGUAACAAGGUA